AACGAACGCUGGCGGCAUGCCUAAUACAUGCAAGUCGAACGGAAUGGGGCAACCCAUUUAGUGGCGGACGGGUGAGUAACGCGUGGGAACCUGCCCAUCGGUACGGAAUAACCUCGGGAAACUGUGGCUAAUACCGUAUGCUCCCUUCGGGGGAAAGAUUUAUCGCCGGUGGAGGGGCCCGCGUCGGAUUAGGUAGUUGGUGAGGUAACGGCUCACCAAGCCUUCGAUCCGUAGCUGGUCUGAGAGGAUGAUCAGCCACACUGGGACUGAGACACGGCCCAGACUCCUACGGGAGGCAGCAGUAGGGAAUAUUGGACAAUGGGGGCAACCCUGAUCCAGCAAUGCCGCGUGAGUGAUGAAGGCCUUAGGGUUGUAAAGCUCUUUUGGCAGGGACGAUGAUGACGGUACCUGCAGAAUAAGCCCCGGCUAACUUCGUGCCAGCCGCCGCAGUAA
rnacentral:rRNA from 1 species